UUUCCUUCCGCAUCGCCCAGGAUCCCUCCAGGUCGUUAAUCCCCAUCACCCAGCUAAGAGAAGCUCCAUUCCCUCUAGUCGAAAGUGUCUUCAGUAAAAGAACUAGAGAAAAAAUAUUUUUUAAAUAAACUUUUUGCUGAGGCUGCUAGAGAUUAAGAAAAAGGGGUUUUCAGACGAAAUCGUGUUCCUGAAAAAUAGUCUUCUGUCUGAUUUCUCGUCAUAAACGGCUCCUGCAGAGCGAGUUUUCUUUGAGGAGUUAUUUACAUCUUGUUUAAGGAAGAGGAAUCGCCACGAUUAUCUGACUAUAAAUUAAAGGGCCUGCCUUUCUCUUGACCUUUCCGGAUGUAUGAGGCUGUGAACUCCCGAGUCCGACGCCGCGUGCCACACGGAAGAGCCGCUGGUCCCCGCGCUGUCACUCGUCCUCGUGUCUAUCAGCCGUGGGCCGUUUUCUCUAACUGUCUCGAAGUGGAGGCAGCAACUCAGACACCGGGGAAAGUGGGGUGUUAGUUUCAAUUAAGAUAAAUUCCUCAAAUCGACUUUUGUGUAAUGUACUUUUAAAUUGUGCCUUCAGGACACAAAGGAGUGCUUGGAUUUUCUGUGAUGGGAACAGUUCAAACAACGUCCCGGCCUUUCUCAGCCCCAGCUCUGAAGACGCCUGUUAAUUGCCUUUCUCUCCCUUGCUGGCAGCAAGGACUCCACCAGUCAAGUCUUCCCAAUCGUUCUGCUGCUUGAAGACAUACUUCAUCCCCGUUCUUCCCCCGGAACAUCAUUAUCCAAAGCGUUUUCUAUAUUUAAUAUAUAUUGUGCAAAUUGUUUGUUUCUCUUUGA